ACCUUAUCAGCCAGGAAUGAAAUGGAUGGGCAUGGCAGGGCAUCUGUUUGUCAUCUUUAUUCAUUUUCGACUUUUCUCAAGAACCAUUGGCUAUAAAGGGAGCUAUAAAAUGCACAACUGUUUUCCACUAUUGAAUUCAAAAGCUAUACCUUCUUUGAGAUACUUAUACUAUCAGAUGAACACAUCUCAUUUCUGAUUUUAUGUCAAUGCAUCUUUGCAUUAAUAAAAUAAUGUAAAUCCUAUAAAUCGGGAAAAUGCAUAAAAACAGCUACUAUUUUUUAACAUCCAAAUGGAAAUACUUUCUACUUAUACAUAUCUCCUUUCAGAAGCUUUUGGCGGGUGUGGACCAACAAGAGGGAUGACCUGAGAAGACAACAAAGUGGAAAGGCAAAGGCCCACAGGUUGUCUGCUAAGAACAGCAAAAGGGUCAGAUCAAAACUGGAAAGCAGGCUGAAGGCCAUUGCAACCAUAGACUGGCCGGAGAAGAAGAAGGAGAAAGUUCUUCCUCUCUUGAGGAAAGAGCUGACAUCACCCAUGGUGUCAGACGAAGGGGAUGAAAAUCUUCUCUUGUCAACUGCUUUCUGGUGGGAAAGCAAGAAACUUUGUUCAUAUAAGCGACAAUUGGACAACCAGCGGUUGUUCAAGGCUACUGCCAGGGGCCGAAAAAAUGAAGAUGUGGGAAGACAUCCCACACGCUGAAGUCCAACACGCUGAUCUGCCACUGGACAUGCCCAGUUGGGCAGUGAAAAGUUCAGCAGAAGAAGACCAGCUGAACAACACUGCUGAUUUUGAUUCCUGAGACGCAUUUCUGAUGUCCCAUGCUGUGAUGUUGCUUGAAUAUUGCUAAAAGCGGAGGAAAACUUUACUCACUUACUCUUAUGUCCCUGAUGUUAUGUACAUGUAGCUAGAUACAUAAUUAAUUAACCAUGUUCAUAAUCAAAGAGUUUUAAAAUUACAUAUUUUAGUGCUUUAUUAAUGUAUGGGGGCAUAGUUGUUGAGAUUUGUUGACUGUUAAUAAACUUUUCAUUCAUUUGUGUUCUAUUCUGUUAUUUGUCAUCUUAAAGGUUUUACCAUUAUUCAAUUGUAUAAAAUACCUGAUUUGCUAUCUGAUACAUGAAACACCUGGGGGAGCAGGUAAAUAGCUAGCAUUCAGUUUCAUGGAAACCAGGUUUGAAACAACAAUAUGCUAAACACAUGGAAAGCAGCAGGAGCUUAAAUGGAGGAGUGGGUAAAGUAUUAUGAAAGUUAUGACCUGGAAACUAGGUUGAAACCAACAAUAAACAAAACCAUGGAAACCAGGUUGAAACCUACAAUAAACGAAAAAAUGGAAACCAGGUUGAAACCUACAAUAAAC